rfam:Sodalis praecaptivus strain HS1, complete genome.
AAAGCAGGGACCGCCCACUGACCAGGAUUGCGCCGCAAGGACAGCGCGAGGAGGGUGAGCGUAGGACCGGCCUCAGGAAGAAGCCCGCAAGUUUCAGGAUGAUACCCAGGACACCUCCAGGAUGGAGAAUGUGAGCCGGUAAUGGAACACCGGCGAGGCAUGGAGUGCUUAAGGACAUACGUUUGAUAACGUAGGCGUUGCGCAAGGACGGGUACUGCCGACACGGAUUGUUGCAAUGUUAUCUUGUAUAACAAGCGUCAUGGAGGUAGGCAGGGAGCAUAAAUGUAGCGGGAUUGCUAUAAAACGAACCGGGGGUACUGUGUAAACAGUACCCCCUUUUCUUUGA